AUUAAUUUAAGAGCCGCAGUAUCCUGACUGUGCAAAGGUAGCAUAAUCAUUAGCUUUUUAAUUGGAAGCUUGUAUGAAGGGUUGGACAAAGAAAAUACUGUCUUUAUUAUUUAAAUUGAAAUUAACUUUUAAGUGAAAAGGCUUAAAUAAAUCAAAGGGACGAGAAGACCCUAUAAAGUAUUUUAUUGGGGCGAUAUAAAUAUAAAUUUUAACUGUUUUAAAUUUAUACAAUAAUAAUUGAAUAGAUCCUUUAAUUAAGAUUUCUAGGCUAAAUUACUUUAGGGAUAACAGCGUUAUUUUUUUUGAGAGUUCCUAUCGAAAAAAAAGUUUGCGACCUCGAUGUUGAAUUAAAAUGUCUUUAUGGUGCAGCCAUUAUAAAAGAAGGUCUGUUCGACCUUUGAAAUUUU
rnacentral:rRNA from 1 species